AGAAGUAAAGCCAAAUCGGAACGAAUAAUGUUAUGAAUAGCAGUUGGUAUCUUGAUAAUGAAUUUGAAAUGCAAUUUGUCCUGUAAAAUG